rfam:TPA: Bos taurus chromosome 14, whole genome shotgun sequence.
UCCCUGGUGGUCCAGUGGUUAAGGCUCUGCACUCCCAAUGCAGAGGGCCUAGGUUUGAUCCCUGGUCAGGAAA